rnacentral:rRNA from 1 species
AACGAACGCUGGCGGCAGGCCUAACACAUGCAAGUCGAGCGAGGACUUCGGUCCUAGCGGCGGACGGGUGAGUAACGCGUGGGAACGUGCCCUUUGCUUCGGAAUAGCCCUGGGAAACUGGGAGUAAUACCGGAUGAGCCCUUUGGGGGAAAGAUUUAUCGGCGAAGGAUCGGCCCGCGUUGGAUUAGGUAGUUGGUGGGGUAAUGGCCUACCAAGCCGACGAUCCAUAGCUGGUUUGAGAGGAUGAUCAGCCACACUGGGACUGAGACGCGGCCCAGACUCCUACGGGAGGCAGCAGUGGGGAAUCUUAGACAAUGGGGGAAACCCUGAUCUAGCCAUGCCGCGUGAGCGAUGAAGGCCUUAGGGUUGUAAAGCUCUUUCAGCUGGGAAGAUAAUGACGGUACCAGCAGAAGAAGCCCCGGCUAACUCCGUG